ensembl:snoRNA
UUUGAGACACUGUCUGUGUAGCCCAGGCUGGCCCCGAACACUGCCUUGUGACUGGCCAUUGCUGAAAAUGCCUCAGAGAGUUCACUCUGUGGUUUUGCUUUGCUCAUCGAUCUUUUUCUUAGGCCUGCGAGAAGGCACUGCAGGACCUUA